rnacentral:rRNA from 1 species
CAUGCAAGUCGAGCGGUAGCACAGAGAGCUUGCUCUCGGGUGACGAGCGGCGGACGGGUGAGUAAUGUCUGGGAAACUGCCUGAUGGAGGGGGAUAACUACUGGAAACGGUAGCUAAUACCGCAUAACGUCGCAAGACCAAAGUGGGGGACCUUCGGGCCUCAUGCCAUCAGAUGUGCCCAGAUGGGAUUAGCUAGUAGGUGGGGUAACGGCUCACCUAGGCGACGAUCCCUAGCUGGUCUGAGAGGAUGACCAGCCACACUGGAACUGAGACACGGUCCAGACUCCUACGGGAGGCAGCAGUGGGGAAUAUUGCACAAUGGGCGCAAGCCUGAUGCAGCCAUGCCGCGUGUGUGAAGAAGGCCUUCGGGUUGUAAAGCACUUUCAGCGGGGAGGAAGGCG